UGCAUUUUAGUGUAUGAAGCACUAUAAAUUUUGAUUUUAUAAGUUAUAGUUUAAUUCUAUAUUAUGCAA
rnacentral:tRNA from 1 species